GAUGAAGAACGCAGCGAAAUGCGAUACGUAAUGUGAAUUGCAGAAUUCAGUGAAUCAUCGAAUCUUUGAACGCAUAUUGCGCUCUCUGGUAUUCCGGAGAGCAUGCUUGUUUGAGUAUCAGUAAACACCUCAACUUCCAUAUCUUUUUGAAAUGGGAGUUGGACUUGAGUGAUCCCAACGCUUUUCCUCACCGAAAAGUGGCGGGUUACUUGAAAUGCAGGUGCAGCUGGACUUUUCUCUGAGCUAUAAGCAUAUCUAUUUAGUCUGCCUAAAAAACAGAUUAUUACCUUUGCUGCAGCUAACAUAAAGGAGAUUAGUUCUUGUGCUGACUGAUGCAGGAUUCACAAAGACAGGCUUCGGCCGACUUUGUAAACUCGAUCUCAAAUCAAGUAAGACUACCCGCUGAACUUAAGCAUAUCAAUAAGCGGAGGA
rnacentral:misc_RNA from 1 species